AUAGUUUGUCUUUGGCAUUUAUUACAAACUUGUCAAUACAUUUGUCUUUCUCUGUAAAGAUUUAUUUAUAUGUAUGUUUAUUAUUUUACAGUGUUUUAACAUGUUUUUGUAUUUUUCAUGUUUAUGAUAUUUUUGAAUGACUGAAGAUUCAGCGCAGAAUUCAAUAAUCCUGUGGAUGGACCGCAGCGAGUCCUUUUGCAGUUAUCCAUCAAAAAGAUAUGCAGACAUAAUGGAAAUGGCAUUUACAUUGUAGAGCUUGGAUGAAGUUCACACAGGCUCUGCGCAGGAAUUCAUCAAGGACAUGACUGCUGGGAUUACGCUUGUGGAUGACCAAACUGAGCACCAUCAGUCUGCAGUGAUGUGAUCCAGCCAUCCAGUGACAUUAAGGAUGUUGAGAAAGAAAUUGAAGAGGGCAUUCUGAUUGUAACUGAGGAACAGCAAUGUGAUGUGCUUCCCAAGGAAUAACCAACAUUGGUCUCAUUUGGACAUCCUGUCAUCACUGACAUCUCCCAUGUCCCCAAGGCAUUUGGACUCUUAAUGGCUCUGUAUGCAGUGAACAUCCACCACCUCCAGCGCAUUAAAUACACCAUUGAGGCUCUGCAAAAACUUGUGAAGACCAGCUGCUCCCACCAUGUGCUCGCUACCGCGGCAGGAACUGUAGGUGUGAGGGAGUGAAUGUCCAGCGCUCUCUCCACCCUCAACACCACAAAUAAGGUGUCCUUGAACAAGGCACAACUUCUCCCCGGGUACUGCAGCAUAAAUGGCUGCCCACUGCUCUGGGUGUGUGUUCACGGUGUGUGUUCACUGCUGUGUGUGUGCACUUUGGAUGGGUUAAAUGAAGAGCACAAAUGCAUGUCAUGUCACUUUCACUUUUCAGUGUUCAUGAUGUGUCCAUCGGCUCCACAGCACUCUUUCUUAAAAAGUAGUGUUUUUUUUUUUUUUUUUUUUUAUAAGGAAAGGUUCAUUUGUGCCUUUCACUAUAUAGAAUGUACAUUAAAGUUUACAUGUCAUGACUUGGAAUAUGCAUGUUCUCAUGUAAACAAAUGUUUUUUCACCUCUCAUUUUCUUAAACAGUAUGUACACAUUUUCAGUAUGUAGCAUUAUGAUGGGGGACGAGUUUGGAAACUUUCAAGAUCCUUCUGAUGUUAACACCUCUGUCUGGUCAUGUUGUGCUGUGAAAUUUAGAAUCUGACUUUAGAUCUUUGUGCUUCCAUGUGCAUUCAUUCCAUUUAUAUCUUAUUAUACAGAAGUACAGUACACUCAUUUUUUGUAACUAAUUGUGAUAUUAUAUUACAUAUAUCUUGGUUUCUCAUUUUGACCAUGACUUGCAUUAUGGUGGGGGGAGUGCAUGUGAACUUGUGCAGGGUUAAUAUGCUGAGUUCAACCUUCUGAUUUUCAUAUUGAGUUAUGAAAUUAAAAACAAUCCCUGUGGUUUUGAUCUGAUGAAUUGAAAUGCAACUAUUUGUUUCUCAAUCCCAUGCCAAUGUUAUUUAUUAUACAUCACACUUUCAAGUGUCGGUUCAGAUCUUUAGACGUGUUUGUAUUUUGCAUUUUUUGUUUUGUUUAUCAAUUAUCAGUUGAUGUGUUGACAGCAAAUUGCUUGUUCAAUUUAAAUGUGAAUGAAAGUGU